UGAUAAAGAUCCGAAAUCCAGAGCGCUAGGCUCUACUUCUCUAAAUCUAUCUAAUCAACCCUAUAGAACUUGAAUAAUUAGGGAGUAGCUAAUUCUAAUUCUCUGUGGAAGAGAAGUUCUAAAACCCUAACUUUGAUGGCUUCCUCUGAUAAUGAUUUCUCCUCCUCCCCUAGGGUGGAGAGGCCUUGCUUAUAUAGCCCCCUCAAGUGAAUGUGGGCUGUCGGAUCAAACCGACAU
rnacentral:lncRNA from 1 species